AUAAGAAUGAUCAGUGAGUGCUGGUUGAUAAGAAGUGCAACAUGAGCCAUCAAUGUGCUCUUACAGCCCAAAAAGCCAACCUUAUUCUGGGCUGCAUCAAAAUAAGUGUGGCCAGCAAGUUGACAGAGGUGAUUCUUCCCCUCUGCUCUGCUCUUGUGAGACCCUACCUGGAGUACU